rnacentral:rRNA from 1 species
AUCAACAUACCACCCUGAACACACUGGAUUUCCUCUGAUCUGGGAACCUAAGCAACACGAGACUUGGUUAGUACUUGGAUGGGAGACCACCAUGGAAUGCCAGGGAUC